ACCGGCGCACGGGUGAGUAACGCGUAUGCAACCUACCUACUACAGGGGAAUAACCCGGAGAAAUUCGGACUAAUACCGCAUAAUACAGGGGUCCCGCAUGGGAAUAUUUGUUAAAGAUUAAUUGGUAGUAGAUGGGCAUGCGUUCCAUUAGGUAGUUGGUAAGGUAACGGCUUACCAAGCCAUCGAUGGAUAGGGGAACUGAGAGGUUGAUCCCCCACACUGGUACUGAGACACGGACCAGACUCCUACGGGAGGCAGCAGUGAGGAAUAUUGGUCAAUGGGCGAGAGCCUGAACCAGCCAAGUCGCGUGAAGGAAGACGGUUCUAUGGAUUGUAAACUUCUUUUGUAAGGGAAUAAAGUUCACUACGUGUAGUGUUUUGUAUGUACUUUACGAAUAAGGAUCGGCUAACUCCGUGCCAGCAGCCGCGGUAAUACGGAGGAUCCAAGCGUUAUCCGGAUUUAUUGGGUUUAAAGGGUGCGUAGGCGGACCCAUAAGUCAGUGGUGAAAGUUUGCAGCUUAACUGUAAAAUUGCCGUUGAAACUGUGGGUCUUGAGUGUAAAUAAAGUAGGCGGAAUGUGUUGUGUAGCGGUGAAAUGCUUAGAUAUAACACAGAACACCAAUUGCGAAGGCAGCUUACUGGGAUACAACUGACGCUGAGGCACGAAAGCGUGGGGAUCAAACAGGAUUAGAUACCCUGGUAGUCCACGCAGUAAACGAUGAUUACUAGCUGUUUGUGAUAUUACAAUAAGCGGCUAAGCGAAAGCGAUAAGUAAUCCACCUGGGGAGUACGCCGGCAACGGUGAAACUCAAAGGAAUUGACGGGGGGCCCGCACAAGCGGAGGAACAUGUGGUUUAAAUUCGAUGAU
rnacentral:rRNA from 1 species